UAGUUGCCAUCUGCACCUCUAGAAGUUAUUUGGAGGGGCAAAGCGAUGCGAAACUUGCUCUUUCCCUAUUUUCCCACCGUCCAGGCAAUGAAGUAGCCCAACAUCAUCGAGCUUCAAACACACAUUAAUACUCUGAAAACUUUUCUGAUUGAACCUUAGCAAAGGUGGAAAAUGUGUGAAAGAGGGAGAGCUGGGCAAAAUGGGGCCUUGUAGAGUUCACUGUGAGCUCUGCAAGGAAGGGAAACCAAAGCCGCUCAGUAUGACCCAACCGUCCCUCAUCCCCAUCACCAUAACAAGGAGGCCGGAGCCAGGAGUGAACCCACACCGGUGGUGACAUGGACAGCAGAGCCCAGGGAAGAUGUACAUUAAUGCAGGAGGAGUAGGGGGAGCAGAUCUUUCGGCUGGAGAAAGAGAAACAGCGCUCCUUCCUUUUAACAUGCUGUUGUCUGGCUUGAUCUUGUCACUCCAAAGGGACCCAUUCAGAGGUAUUCAUGCAUCUGCCUCGGGGG
rnacentral:lncRNA from 1 species